GGGGAGUAGUGGCGGUGUUUCUUUUUGGACAUUGAGUGGUGGGGCGGCGUUCUGUCACGCCCCGGGGCCCAGCGGAAGCCGGUCCGGCGCGUGUCCAGACCCGCUAUAUGUCUAAAACAUACAAGGCGUCUACAACAAAGCGAUAAAUAAAGCAAUGAGAGAAGAACAUUUAGGAGUAUCAGAGCGAAGUACAUCUAGAUUUCUACAGCAAGAAUAGGUGAAAGAAACCAAAAUCACUAAAUAAAAGUCAUAAGUAAUACAAUAGAUAUCCAAAAACAAGAGCUAAAAUAGUACAUAGGUGGUCUCUAUACAUGGUACAAAAAAAAAUCUCUCUCUCUAAAAUACAAAAAGAGAGUAACCACCUAUGAGCAGUAGCUCCCUGCUAUCUAGCUAGGCGACAGCCUUGCCGCGAUCCCGUGCCUCCGCCGGUGCCGAAGACUCUGAAAUAAAACCAUAAAAUAGGGGGCGUGAGAACUAUUAAAUAAUAGUUCCCAGUGGGCAAUUACUGACUUCAGUGAAAUGCGCCACUAGGCCCAAAAGCUACAAAAAGGGGUAAGUACGAGUAUAAGCAAAAGCGAUAUAUACGACAAGUAAAUAAAUAUGAGUACUUGCUACCACAUGAGGUCUCUACUUAGCAUGGAAUUGCAUAAGUAAGAAUGCUAUUCUAUCAUGAAAAUGCACGAGUAUACAAUCGUCAUAAUAUCGACAAUGUCAUAGUAAAAUGUCAUUGUUUAC
rnacentral:lncRNA from 1 species